UACGAAGGGGGCUAGCGUUGCUCGGAAUCACUGGGCGUAAAGCGCACGUAGGCGGCUUUUUAAGUCAGGGGUGAAAUCCUGGAGCUCAACUCCAGAACUGCCUUUGAUACUGAAAAGCUUGAGUCCGGGAGAGGUGAGUGGAACUGCGAGUGUAGAGGUGAAAUUCGUAGAUAUUCGCAAGAACACCAGUGGCGAAGGCGGCUCACUGGCCCGGUACUGACGCUGAGGAGCGAAAGCGUGGGGAGCAAACAGG
rnacentral:rRNA from 1 species